rnacentral:rRNA from 1 species
UGGGGAAUUUUGGACAAUGGGCGAAAGCCUGAUCCAGCAAUGCCGCGUGUGUGAAGAAGGCCUUCGGGUUGUAAAGCACUUUUGUCCGGAAAGAAAUCCUUGGCUCUAAUACAGUCGGGGGAUGACGGUACCGGAAGAAUAAGCACCGGCUAACUACGUGCCAGCAGCCGCGGUAAUACGUAGGGUGCAAGCGUUAAUCGGAAUUACUGGGCGUAAAGCGUGCGCAGGCGGUUUGCUAAGACCGAUGUGAAAUCCCCGGGCUCAACCUGGGAACUGCAUUGGUGACUGGCAGGCUAGAGUAUGGCAGAGGGGGGUAGAAUUCCACGUGUAGCAGUGAAAUGCGUAGAGAUGUGGAGGAUACCGAUGGCGAAGGCAGCCCCCUGGGCCAAUACUGACGCUCAUGCACGAAAGCGUGGGGAGCAAACAGGAUUAGAUACCCUGGUAGUCCACGCCCUAAACGAUGUC